rnacentral:rRNA from 1 species
AGAGUUUGAUCCUGGCUCAGGAUGAACGCUAGCUACAGGCUUAACACAUGCAAGUCGAGGGGAAACGACAUCGAAAGCUUGCUUUCGAUGGGCGUCGACCGGCGCACGGGUGAGUAACGCGUAUCCAACCUGCCCAUCACUUGGGGAUAACCUUGCGAAAGUAAGACUAAUACCCAAUGACGUCUCUAGAAGACAUCUGAAGGAGAUUAAAGAUUUAUCGGUGAUGGAUGGGGAUGCGUCUGAUUAGCUUGUUGGCGGGGUAACGGCCCACCAAGGCGACGAUCAGUAGGGGUUCUGAGAGGAAGGUCCCCCACAUUGGAACUGAGACACGGUCCAAACUCCUACGGGAGGCAGCAGUGAGGAAUAUUGGUCAAUGGGCGAGAGCCUGAACCAGCCAAGUAGCGUGCAGGAUGACGGCCCUAUGGGUUGUAAACUGCUUUUAUAAGGGAAUAAAGUGAGCCUCGUGAGGCUUUUUGCAUGUACCUUAUGAAUAAGGACCGGCUAAUUCCGUGCCAGCAGCCGCGGUAAUACGGAAGGUCCGGGCGUUAUCCGGAUUUAUUGGGUUUAAAGGGAGCGUAGGCCGGAGAUUAAGCGUGUUGUGAAAUGUAGACGCUCAACGUCUGCACUGCAGCGCGAACUGGUUUCCUUGAGUACGCACAAAGUGGGCGGAAUUCGUGGUGUAGCGGUGAAAUGCUUAGAUAUCACGAAGAACUCCGAUUGCGAAGGCAGCUCACUGGAGCGCAACUGACGCUGAAGCUCGAAAGUGCGGGUAUCGAACAGGAUUAGAUACCCUGGUAGUCCGCACGGUAAACGAUGGAUGCCCGCUGUUGGUCUGAAUAGGUCAGCGGCCAAGCGAAAGCAUUAAGCAUCCCACCUGGGGAGUACGCCGGCAACGGUGAAACUCA